ACAGAAUUAAAACCCGUGUUCUUAUGGACUAUAAAAUUCCUUGCAUUGACAUUGCUCUCUGGACAUUGCUGAAACUCAACGAGCAAGACUUAUUUCGAAGUAUAGCUAUCUGUUUUCACCAGUGAACUCUAUUGGUUAUCUUAUGAACGCCAUUCGUUUACGCCAAGACUUCUCCGUGCGUGCUAUGGCUAUGCGGUACAACGAUAAUAUAUAAUACGAUACAUACAGUUAAAC